CCAGGUCGCCGGACCCGGUGUGGAGAGCGGUGCUGAGGCUACGCGGGCUGGAGACUCAGGGCCUUCAACUGAUUGGAUGAAGCCCACCCACAUUAUGAAGAUUCCUGUGGCUGCAUUUGAAUAGCAAAAAUCCUGGCAAGAGGAGAUGAAGAUCUGGGCUAAAAACUUCACUGAGGCUAACAUCUCAGGAGGACCCUGGAGUCACAUGAGCCUGGUGGGAAUCUGCUUUGCCUCCUACCAGCUAUGUAGCGCUGGUCACACAACUUCACCUUCCUAAGCCUCAGUUUCUUGCUUUUAAAUGGAGAUGAUGAUACCUAUUUUGCAAGGUUGCUGAGUUGAUUGCAUGAGAUCACCGACGUGCACAGUAAUAAAAUAG
rnacentral:lncRNA from 1 species